AAAGAUGAACUGAAAGCCACACAGUCCUCUAGAACUGUUUCUGCUGCAGAGGUAAACUGUCUUCUUGAUUGUUCUAGAACGAGAUACUGAAUUUGCUGCAUUAUUUGCAAAGUUAGCAACAAGGAAAGAAAUUCCUGAAGAUCUGUGGUUCGUAUUUAUAGUAGGUGAAAAUACGUGGUGGGAAGGACCCAUUAGCUGGCAAAAAUAUCCGUCCUCAGAGAGCUGGCCUUUCCUGCUUACUUAUCACGAGCAGGUAACAGGAUUAAGAUUGCUUUCACUGGAGAAGAAUGACAUGGGAAGGAGAUGCCAAAGGAUGGUGGAAACUCUGCAGCGCCAUCAGUCAGCACGAAAGUACUUCUUGAUCCCCUGAUCUGAGCACUUAUGGAAGAUGAAGCGAACAGAUCUAUAAGAAAAGGGAAACUUUGUGUUACUCAAUGCCUAUGGAGGUGGACUUUUAAUUGCUGAUCAAUCUCUGGUGCUUCACAGGAAAGGUGGGAGAAGGAGACAGAUACACUUUGUUUUACAUCUAAGCAGCUGUUCAGUGGGAUGGAGAGGGGGAAUACUGCCUGAUCCUUCCAGGAGAUGUCUGAAACACUGAAGCAUAGGAAUUGGUAAUGGUUUGUAACCUGACAUUUCUUCUUUCUGUGGUUUUGGACCUAAUUCCAAGCUGAUUGUUUGGACAAUGCAGCGAAACCUCUCAGCCUCUCCUGCUGUGAACACCUGGCCUUCUGCCACGAGUCCGUGAUCAAUAAGAACCAGAGACCAGAAGCUUCAAACCAACCAAACUGAGUUUCUAGGCUGGACGACAAGCUCCCCCUGCAGAAGAACACGCAGUGAUGUCUCAUGCAGCACGAUAUGAAAGCACGGUGCUUUGGAGGAAUUGCACGGAGCAGCUUCUGCUGCUGUUGUACAGCAGUUCCACAUCCAGCGCUCACAGUGGUCUCAGACUGCCCUGCUCCUUUUGCUUUGAGGAGAAAAGAGAUAAGGAACAAAAAAGUGGGCAAUAAACUUUCCUGAAGCACAGGGGGACUUUGUUUCUCCAGACUCGCUCCUCCUGCACACAAAGGGAAUGCAUCGCUGCUGCUGCCAAGUUCUGAGAAAACCUCAGCCACUGUUGUGCAGGUUUAUUGCAUCCGUGAUGGUCAUCCUCUGAACUUCCUCCCCGGAUGAAAGAGAGGACCUGACCUGGGCUUGUGUUCAGCAGGCGCAUGAAAUAAUUCCAAAUAAGGAUCUGCAGCCCAGCAAGUUCCCCAAGAGGAUAAAGUGACCAUGUUUAGCAGUGACUGAAAGCAGCUCUUGGACUUCAUCACCUCUUGCAGCAAUCUGCGUCUCCAGCUAUGACUUAGGAGAGAGCCAAAUCGUAGCAAAUAUGUUAUAUUUUCUGCUUUUGAGGAUGCAGACAGACAAGGCUCACCCUCCUAGGAUUGCUGAACUCUUUUUGGCUGACAGUUGUCAUUACGGAGAGCUAGCAGAUGAGCUAUUGGUGGAGAGCUGGUAUUCAUAAUGGCAUUAGCAGAUGUGGAAACUGACAGGUUUUGUCACCACAUCAUCACAAGGACGAUAAAAGGAGGUGUUAUUCUGGGUUUGCUCCCAAAUAAGCAGUGAAAAUACUGAAAAGAGAAACUCUUAGAAGCACGAUAGCCCAGAGAAUAGCUAUUUAUAGUUCAAAUGCAGUAGUUAACAAGGCUCUGUAUGGCGUUGAUUUCUGAAACAAAA
ensembl:lncRNA